rfam:Triticum aestivum genome assembly, contig: Triticum_aestivum_CS42_TGACv1_scaffold_622798_7DS
CGAGUACUCCCUCCGUCUGAAAAUACUUGUCAGAGAAAUAGAUAAAAAUGGAUGUAUUUAGAACUAAAAUACAUCUAGAUACAUCCAUUUUUCUGACAAAGUAUUUCCGAACGGAGGGAGUAGGAG